AAAAAAAUCAAGAUACCUAGAUGAGGAAAAUACUUUAUGUAUAGAAACCAUAACAAUAAUCACAUAUGAAAACAAAGCUAGCAAGAUAUUCAUGAGAUGAAUUAAAAAAGGAAAUAGAUCAGAAUCCAAAUGUUUUUGCUCCAUUCUUAAUUCAAGAACAAAACCCCUAAACUUAAUUUAUCUGGAAAAUCAAAAUAAAUUGACAAAAUAUGCGCAUAUGUGAUUUGGCAUUCAGAACAUAUGCUGAAACUCUGAAAAACUGAGAUCUAUCCAAAAAAAAAUGUUUAGAAAUCAUACUGGAUAGUAAAGUAUAUGCCAAUUUUCAGAAAGGUAAUACAAAUAGAUCAUAUUUUCAAGUCCUUAGUAACAUGUUCUAGAAUAUAUUUACAGGACAUCAACCUUAAUAACCGGUAAUGACAGAGAUCAUAUUUAAUAUUUUCUUAUUUAACAUACUGAUGAGGGCAAUUGAAUAUCAUAUGGCUUUAAUAUCAAUUGAAGGGCAAAUUAAAUAAUUUCUUGAUAUGAACCAUCAUGUAGCAAAUCAUGAAAACCCAAGCAUGGUGUCUAAUAUCUAGAUCAAAAGGAAGGAGAUAAAUCUUCUUGACAUACUAAAAAUUGAUCAAAUCCUGGCCAACUCGAAGAACUCUUCCACAUAAAAACUCAGCAACUUGUUGGGGAGGUUUCCUAUAGCAACAAAAAAAAGUACAAUGAAACCAAUAGCAUUUGCAAACUAAAAUAUUCUCAGCUUAUUUCUAUUGCCAAUCAUAUAUUUGGCUUCCGAAUUAUACCAUCCGGAUUGAAAAAUAAAAUGGAUGUGAUAGGCAUAUAAAAAUAUAGACAUAAAGUUUCUAUGCUCUGCCAAAAAAAGAAUUUUAGGGGUUCCUACAGCAACACAAAAGAUUCAAACUGAAAUGGGCGAAAUAGGCAAAGUCAAAAAAAAAUUCUAUGCACAAGAUAGGCAUAUUAAAAGAUUAACAGAUAUUUUCUAUGGUUAAUAAAACACAGAAGUUUAGAUGUUCCUACUUAAGUCACACAUAUGCAAACAGAAAAUGGAUGACAUAUACAAACUAGAAAUUAUCAGAUUAUUUAUACUGUUAGUCAAAUAAUAGAUAAUUUGGGCUUCUAUUUAAACCCACUAGAGCCAAAUGAAAAUGGCAAGCUUUGCAUAUCAGAAGAUUAGCGAUAUUUUGUAUGCAUAGUCAAAAUAGGAGAUUCUGCUACAACAAAUUAAAUAUGCCAUGUGGAUAUCAAAAAAGAAUUUUUAGAAUAAAUUAGAGCAGGUCGGAUUGACUCAGGGACACAAAGAAAAUCAUCUUAAUCCUAGUCAUGUGGAUAUUUAUAUACAUGAAGAUAAAGUACAAAUGACAAUAAGAAUAUCCAUGUAAAUGUAGCACAUUUGAACUGUAUAUGAAUUCUACCUACUUUAGAUAACGCAUUUAGACACAAGAAUGCUAAAAAUGGAUGCAGGGAACAAAUCAGAGCAAAGAGUUACCAGAUGAUGAGAUGAGAACAUAAAUGAACUGAACUGCAUGUGUAAUAUGCUUU
rnacentral:lncRNA from 1 species